UUGAUCCUGCUGGGCUUUAAAAAGACUCUGAACCCUGGGCUCGAUCAGUGUGGGUUCUAUGCAUUAUUGUACUUGGAGCUAUAGGUGUUAUAAUGAUAGGUUUUGUUUCUACUGGUUUGUUGGAUUGGUACUACUGAGGUCUUCUUUGCAUGCACUUAAUGUUGUUAAAUUAAUCAUUCAUUAUACAUUGACUGAGUAAGCAAGGGGAGAGGAGAGGAGCAACGGCUGGUACGCGGCUCAUUGCUGCGGGUUUUUGAAAACGUCAUACCAUCCGGCAGAUUGAGACGAGAUGACAGACCGGACAGAUCGCUUUUCGAGCAGGUUGGGGCUGCUCUCCGCUAAUCUUCGCUCUCUACUCUGGUACAGAGGACUGGCAAGGUUGAAAGAGGCGCCGUCACAGAAGAAAGUAUAAAGGAUUAAUCUGAAAAAAUUCCUGGACGAUCGGGCAAAGAGGAAUAGAUGACUAACUUCUUUCGUCACUUCACCCAUUUUCGCUUUCGACAUUCAGAAUUCAAUUCCGAAUAUGACCAUCUGGAAACGUCUCCUGUGGCCUCUCCUGUGGGCAGCAGCCACGCUCUGUGUUGCGAAAGAUUGCAGUAAUCAUAUAGUUGGUGUUGAAGGAGAAGAUAUUGUUUUGUCACCAUCAGUUGCAGGCAGUGGCAACCUAACAAGAAUUUAUUGGAAGAAAGGAGAAAAUAUAGUGGCUAACUCCUGGUUCAGUUUUCCUCCUGGAAGAAAAAACAAAGACUGAGUCUUGAUUCUUCCUCUGGCAAGUUGAUUCUCAAAAACCUUUCAAAAGAGGAUACUGGAAAUUACACAGCAGAAGUUUUCAUUAAUGAGAAAAUCGAAGAAACGUGUUUUGAUCUGAAAAUACUAGUAUGGCCUGAUAUAAACUGCACUAUUAACAAUGGUACCAUUCAAUUAAGCUGUACAUCACCAAGUCAGGACCUACCUCUGACAUACUCUUGGGAGAACAUCAGAAAUGAAGAAAUCUCUGAGAAGGGUUCAGUUGUUCUGCUUCAGAGGAACCCAAGCCAUUUUCAGAAAAUUACAUGUUAUGUUAUAGCUUUCGGUUCAAAUGCCAGCACUUCCAUCAAUCUGAGUGACUGUAUACCAGUAGAAGAACCUGAUCAUCAAUCAAGAAGUAGAAUACAUUUAAUCGCAAUACCAAUAAUUCUAGUUCUAAUACUGGUACUUUUCUUCUGCAUAAAGAAGUAUCUGAAAAAAAGGAAAGAAAGUAAGAUCCUUAAUGAGUCAGAAUCUGGAGCAAAGAAUGCAAGAGGAAAUUGUAAGGAAGAAACUUCUAUGCUUGAAUCUUGACAGGAGUCAGAUGUGACUUUUUCAAGGAUGAAAAAGUAAAAGUACCUCUGCAGACUCUCUUCAGUCCAAUUCAUGCAUUAUCUCCUUUUAUCAAUUUUGCUGAAUUGUAAUUGGUUUUAUUUUGCUUUUCAACUAUUAUUUUUUAUGUGUAUCAAAUUCUAAUUUACUGUGGAAUUUUAAAUAGUUGUGGACUGCUUUAUUUAUUUCAUGAGCUCUUUUGUGUACUUCUAUGGAAACAACCUAUGGAAGCAAUCAAGAGACAGUAAAAAAUGGACAAAAGAAAGAAUAAACUCAGAAUUGGUGGCUCCUUCAAAACCAUUGAAUCAGCCUAAAACUGCUGAAUAUUUAGCAACAAAGAGCAAAACAAAACAAAACAAAGAGUGAGUACAGUAGGUAAUAAAGUAAAACCAAGAAGAUGAUGUUUUUAUUGGCUGUGUUGUUCUGGAAUGGGACUUAAAAACUGAAACUGAGCACCAGCAACUGCUUGAUCUUUCUUCCUCUCUGGGAAGAAUUAUUACCAACUCAAUGAUUUAACAGCAGAGCCUCAGUCUGAGGCCGACACACCCCUUGCCACCCUCUUCAUCUUUUUCUAAAGCAGAUCAACUUGAAUAUUUAAGAAAUGAAUAAGUCUCAUAACAAGACAAUGCCUUCUAACUGCACAGACGGUCAUUUCUAUUUUUGAGCUAUUGUCAACAAUAAAUAAAUAAUAACGUGGAUACUUUGGGGGGGAAAUUUAUUUUAUUUUUUAUUUUAUUUCAAAUUUAUAUACCGCACCUUCUCCCAAGGGACUCAGGGCGGUGUACAGCCAGAUAAAAACAUAGAAUACAAACAUUAAGAACAAUUAAAAAAUCUUUGAAAGAGCUAAUCAAAAUCAUUCAAACAAAUCAAAAUUGAACAUGGGAAGGAUCCAGGAGACAGAAGUCUUCUGAUGUUAAGAAUUGCACAUGACAAUACCCUGCCUGUUUCUUGGUUUUGAUAAAACUUUACAAAAGCCAUAAUUCUUACCAUAAUUUUUUUCUGCCUAUUUUUAAUAGUCCUGAACAGUUGCUCACUCUUUUGCACCAAUUUGUAUAUGAGGCUUUGAAGACUAAAUUCUUUUAAAUACACUUUUUUCAUAUUUAAUGCCUCCUUCAAAUAUGUUUGCACUAAUAUUCAUAAAGGUGUGACUUUUUCAAGAAUUAUAAAGUGUGCCAGAAAUGAAAUAUUUGUAUUAUUUUUUUACUGAAGCUCAUAUGGUUUUUCAGAUAUAUAUUUAUAUAUAUAUAUAUAUAUAAAAUUUUAUAAACACUGCACUGGUUAGCACUGAUAGCUUUGGAAUUUAAAAUGUUUGUAAAGCUGGUUCCUAGUUCUCAUAAUUAUGGGAAAAAUCUCAAAUCUAGUUUUCUGCUGCUGAGGUGCCAUGAUGAAUUGGGCAGCAGUUACCCUUUUCCUCCACUGUGUUGCUAUAGUGUUAGGGAACAGGAUGCCCAUGCUCAUGGAUGCCAAUUGCCAAUUUGACAUGGCAGUUGCUGAUACUAUCUUUACUAUCUUUAUCCUCCACCAGUUUAAAUGAUCACUCAACGUUUGACUACUGUAUUGUUUAAUAAUUCAGUAGAAAAUGUUUUAUUUCUUCACUUAUUGUAUAGCUAUUGCAAUAAUUAACUCUGAGUCUGAAGUCAAAAUGACAAGAGAAAAUGGGAAACAUCCAUUGUUCUGAAGGGGAACAGGUUUUUGCAUCUGUGAUAUGAAAGAACAGCCCAAAAUUGGAGCUAUUUCAAAGAAGAGAAAGAUGAGAUUAGAUCUUUAAAAUCACUUUCAACAAUAUGAUUCCAUAAGAUAAAAGACAUGGCAUAAGAACGGGAAAUAUAGCCAAAUCUCAUUAUAUGGCAUCAUACCUCUCCAUAGCUUUGUGCAGAAAACAAUACAGUUAAAAGAAAAGAAAGGGAUAAAAAAUAAUUAAAGAAAUGACUUUCAAAUUUUAUUACAGCAACUAAAAUUAAAAUUGCACUUUAGGUUUUUAUUCAGGAAUGCUGGUGCUUGGAUAGUAAUAAAUUCACAGAAAUUCUAUAAAUCUCCCUUCCACCCCCUUAACUCUGGGAGUAUGAGUGAUAGAAAGAGUAAAGGAACAAACAAGUGUGUUUCUGCAUACAUGCAUAGAUGCAAACAAAAACAUAGCAGAUAUCAGAGAUAUCAAACCUGUUAUAGAUUUCUUCCAGAAAUGAUCUCUUCCUUUUGAGUAGAAGGAAAUUGGUGAUUGCUCUGGGCAAACUGAGCACUCAUUUUUUAUCUGCACUAAUGGAAAGAAAAUGGUGCAAUGAUUCCUAAAUGUCGUAUUUCUUUUCAAAGAAGUUACACAAGCAGGACAGUAAAAUGUUAAUUCUGACUGUACUGUAAAUUGGGGUUUGUUUCUACUAAAUUGAAAUAAAUGUAAAAGUAAAUACUGGUAUAAAUAAAUGUAAAAGCAACAAUAAAAACACAAUGGAUGUCCAUUUCACUGUCAAUAUACCUGAGACUGAGGUCUUGUUGUUGGAGGCAAAUAAUGAAGUUAUCAUGUAAAUGCCACAAUUUAGGUAGUAUCAGAUGUUGGUCAUUUGGUGGCAUUAUUACAGUUGACGCCUUUCCAUGUUGCGAAAUACUUCUUUCGUAGUUACUUACUCCAGUCACACAUUUCUGACUAUAUCCUUGAAGUUGCAUCUUCAGAAUGUAACUACCAGAGUAUUAUUUUAUGUAACCUGCUAGAAAUAAAAGUAUAGCCACAGCUGGCUGAUUUUGUAGAAGAAAAAAAUCAUGGAAAAAAUCAUGUUUUUUCUGCUACUGGCAAAGUGAUACAACCUCUUAACUUAAGAACAAACCUCUUCAAAUAUUGUAGAAAUGCCUGUGCUAUCUCACUCUAGCAUGGUGCCAGCUCUUUUUGUGUCUGGUAGUAUAUGAGUCCCUAUUUUUUUCAAUUCUUAGAAUGUGGAACUGUUUGAUUGUAUCUUGUCUGAUGUAUGAAAUCUCAAUUUCUUUGUUCGGAUUCAGUGAGUUAGUUGAGAUUGGGCUGGAAUGCUGGUUGUUGAGAAGGGCACUUGAAAACUGCUCACCAAUUUUGCUCAUAAAAUAGGGUAAUGUCAGUCCUUUGAGAUACAAACAAGAAAGCACAAGUACUAUCUUUAUUGUAAGAUUGCAGCUACAACCUCCUGCAAGUCUGAAAGCACUUGUCCCCUCUAUUGCCUUUACUUUCCAAAGAACUAGAGAGAGUCCCUUCUAAGGCACUCCUAUUCCUUUUGUGGGGGUGCAAUGGCUCAGCAAUUAAAAAAGCUGAGCUUGUCAGCUGGAAAGCUGGCAACCCAUGUUUGAGACCUGAACACCACACAACAGGGUCAGCUUCCAUUCCUGCUCCAGCUCCUGCCCACCCAGCACUUAAAAGUAUGCAAAUGUGAGUAGAUCAAUAGGUACCAAUUUAGAGGGAAGGUAACAGCAUUCCAUGCACCUUUGGUAUAUUGUCAUGACAGCCACAUGACCACAGAAAGUAUCUUUGGACAAUGUUGGCUUCUUCGGCCAAGAAAAGGAGAUGAGCACCACGUCCUAGAGUCAGACAUGACUGGAUAGGGAAACCUUUACCUUAUCCUUCUGUGGGCUGAGAUAUGUUUUAUCUGAUAAUUGUCCAGAGUGUGAUUCUUACUCCAUUCUCCAAAGGCAGUGGUGGGAUUCAAGCAGUUCACGGCGGAACUGGUUGUUAAAUUGCUGGCUGGCUCCGCCCCGCCCCUUCCAGAAGUCCCCCUGCGGCCUGUUUUUGCUCCCAGGAGGCUGCAGGGAGGCCUACUGGGCCGUGGGGUGGGGCGGUGUCACCCCCCCCCCCGCAGCCUGUUUUUGUUCCCAAGGGGUGCAGGAGCCCAAGUGCUGCCUGUCACACCCCUGACCAUGCCCACUCAGCUGGUCAUUAGGGCAGAGAACUGGUUGUUAAAUUAUUUGAAUCACACCAUUGUCCAAAGGUUAUUCUCACAGCCCACUGCAGGGAACAAGCAGGGGUUAGAGGGUCAACUGCAUCCUUUAUGGUCAGGAAAAUUGUCUUAAAUUAUUUUUGCACUGAAUUGAAAAAAAUAAACCUCCACAGUUAGCUGAAAGGCAGUUUGUAGACUUGUUCCCAUAGAAACUACAUGUCUGGUUCUUAGAAUAAAAUUGAAAGGAAACAGGCAGAGGGAGAUAACUGACUUAGAAGGGACAGGCCCAAGAAAUAAUCUUACACCAUCAGCCUAGCAAGAGGGAGAGCACAUUUUUCCUGCUUGUUUCUACCAAUAUUUUAGGAUCAAGAUAUGAGCAUGUGUGACACUGAACUGUUACCACUUUGUAAAGUUGAGUGCCUCUCUCUAUAUGAUAGCUUGAACUCUAGACUGAUAACAUACUGACAAUCCUUGACUUCUAGUUCUUAGCACAUAAAAGAAUAGGGUAAGAUAGGCUUGGCAUAGAUUAUCCAUCUGACAAUCAGCCCUCUCAAAAUACUAUGCUGUUUGCUUAUGUGGUCAUAGUCUCAAAAUAUAUUGAAGAGUAUUGGUUCAUUCUUAAUACCACAGGACAGGUGUCCCUAAAAUAUGCUACAGUUGGGAAUCUCUUCAUUUAGGCCUGUGCCUCACCUGUAUAUAUCUCCAUUAAGAAUUACUAAAAAUCCAUGUUCUGUAAUUACAAACUGCCAAUUAUGCGUGCCUGUGGGCAUUCCAUUCCAAAAAAGCUAAAGUUAAAAAUAGCUGCUGUAUGUUGUUUCAUGGGUGGCUAACAUUCUAUCUAUCCUGACAUCACUCUGCUAUUUAUGGCCUCAUUGUUUUGUAGAUCCUGGGGCCAUUAAGUGCAUGCCUAUAUACAUGUAAAUAUUGAUGAAAUGAAUAAAACCUCAACUGCCUUA